rnacentral:lncRNA from 1 species
GCCUGGAUGUGAUACUACAGAGACACUGUCACUAGGGUUCCAAGGCUCCCACCCGAUAUCCUGGGCAAAGUUGUGUGUCACCUCAUUCUGCAGUUUUCCCUAACAUUAGCAGCCUAGCUGUUACCCAGCAAGCCUUUCUCUCUCCAGCCCUGCUCAAGGCCCUUUCAGUAACACAUCUUAGAACCCUGCCUCCCCAGCUUGCCCUUGUCCCCACACCACUUUCUCCCCCUUCCCUCAAUAGUGUGUGAAAAGAAAAGGAAUUCCUGUUAUCCUCCGGCCUCCAGAAGGACAGGCCUCAAAGUGUGAACAGAAAGCGCUUGCCAAGUGUGCCCAAGUGGUUAUUUUAAUCGGGUGGAACAGCCCCCUCUUCAUGGAAAAUUUUCUACUCUAACACCUGCAGCAUUAAAGGUUCCUGGCUUCUUCUCCCCUGGGCUCCCAGGACUCACUCUCUCACCAGGGCAGGAUGCCAGCUCAGGACAAGAGUGGUGCCUGCCUCCUCACCAAAGGCUUCUCUGGGGUUCCUGGAUCAGGCUUGUCCCUGCCCUCUGGCUGUGUUCCUUUGCUUCCUUCCUAUUUCAUUCGGACAACACAAAGAACCUGGGGUUUGAUUUGUGUAGGACUGAAGUAAUGUCUUUGUGGAAUAAGUCCAUGGGUGCCUUGUUCCUGGACACAAACCCUAUCCACUUCAUGCUUCUGACCUUACUGAAUGGGGCCAACCAAGCAGUGUUGCUCCCAGGAUACUCUGAGUCACUGAAGAUGUUUCCUGUCUUGUCUUCUGCCAUGGGCAAUCCAUUACCUGGCCAUGCGCUGUGUGCCAGCUAGCAUCAUUUCCACGGCAGUCAUAAAUGAUCCACCCACACACCAACAUCAGCACAAGUGAGGUAGGGCCAUUAAAGGAGAGAUGGUGGAGACUGACUGAUUCUCCAGCUUUCAGAUUAGAAUUUGAAUGUUUACCCUGGACAGUGUGUUCUAUGGAGCUGAACUAACUUAGAAACUACAUACCAGUUUUAAUGAACCAACACAGACAGCUAUGUUGCUUUGCAUAUAUGGUGGCUGACAGUGUGUUUGUGUGUCUAUGUGUGUAUUUGAGUACACAUGUGGGUGUAUGUUGAGACUAGAAAUCUAGUGUUU